CGUGUAAUUUGACCUCGACGAGCAGUCUCAUGAGAUAGCCUCAUGAAGAAACAACGUUCGCUUUCGGUGCUAACUUGCAGUCGGAAAAUGCUGCAUCACUCCUGUCUUUGAUUGGUAGCUUUUAGUUAUAUUAAUCAUCUUACAUGCGUCAAUUUGCGCGUGAUAAAACCGUUUCGAUAAUAUUAAUACGUUUGUUCACAACGGAAAGUGAAAGAGUGCUAGUGAUUCUAGGAUUAGAACAAGGAAUCGACGACCGAUAAAAGUACCACUCCGUAUAAGGCAAAUUCCAUAUUACUGCAAAGAUGG